UACGGAGGGGGCUAGCGUUGUUCGGAAUUACUGGGCGUAAAGCGCAUGUAGGCGGCUUUGCAAGUUAGAGGUGAAAGCCCAGGGCUCAACCCUGGAAUUGCCUUUAAAACUGCAUCGCUAGAAUUGUGGAGAGGUAAGUGGAAUUCCGAGUGUAGAGGUGAAAUUCGUAGAUAUUCGGAAGAACACCAGUGGCGAAGGCGACUUACUGGACACAUAUUGACGCUGAGGUGCGAAAGCGUGGGGAGCAAACAGG
rnacentral:rRNA from 1 species